UACGUAGGGUGCAAGCGUUGUCCGGAAUUAUUGGGCGUAAAGAGCUCGUAGGCGGUCUGUCGCGUCGGAUGUGAAAACCCAGGGCUCAACCCUGGGCCUGCAUUCGAUACGGGCAGACUAGAGUUCGGUAGGGGAGACUGGAAUUCCUGGUGUAGCGGUGAAAUGCGCAGAUAUCAGGAGGAACACCGGUGGCGAAGGCGGCUCUCUGGGACGGUACUGACGCUGAGGAGCGAAAGCGUGGGGAGCGAACAGG
rnacentral:rRNA from 1 species